GCCACCGCGCCCGGCUGGAUCGUAUCUAAUUUUAUAAUUUUAACUUUUUAUUCUUUUCUUGAAGAGGGCCGCUGUGGUGGACACUAUAAGCACCCCCUCCCAAAGAUGUCCAUGUUUUAAUCCUUGAAACCUGUGAAUAUGUUAUGUAAUAUGACAAAGGAUAAUUAAGGUGACAGAUAGAAUUAAUGUUGCUAAUCAGCUGGCCUUAAAAUAGGGAGAUUAUCCUGGAUUGUCUGGGUGAACCGAGUAUAAUCAAGAGUCCUUAAAAUGGAAGAAGGUGACAGAGAGGAGGUCAGAGUGAAGCAAUCUAAGAAGGACUUAUCUGUUGUUGCUGGUUUUGAAGAUGGAGGAAGAAGCCACAACUCAAGGAAUGCAGAUGGUCUCUAAAGCUGGAAAAGACAAGGAAACUGAUUUUUUCCCAGAGCCUCCAGAAGGGAACACAGCCCUCUUGACGCUUGAGUUUUAUUUAGCCCAGUGAGUCCUGUCUGGACCUUUUAACUACAGAGCUGUAAGAGAAAUUUGUGUUGUCUAAAGCUACAAAGUUUGUGGUAAUUUGUUAUAGCAGUGAUAGAAAACUAAUACAGCCACCUUAGAUGUGCAUACUUCAGGCCCCGCAAAACUUUUAUCUUCCGCUGACAGGGAAUAUAAAGAGUACAGGCUUUGAAGUUGGAAAACCUGGUCUCGUAACUUACUUGCUGUGUUACUGUAGGCAAAUCGCUGAACUCUUCCAGGCCUUAGUUUCUUCACAGGUACAUUGGAGAUAAUACCUACAAACCUGAUCUAUUGUGCAGAUCAAAAGAGAAAGUGAUUAAUAAAACUUGGAAAGUGCUCUAAAAAUGUUCAUGUGUCAUUUUAAGUUGUUAAUAAAGAGUAUUAGAGUGACUAAGUGACUCCAAGCUUAUUAGCUGGAAAAAUAGAAGUAGGAGAGCCGAUUCUCUGGGACAUGCCUGUAGUCCCAGUUACUUGGGAGACUGAGGUGGGGAGAAUUGCUUGAGUCCAGCCUGGGUAACAUGGGGAGAUCUGUCCCUAAAAAAUGAAAAAAGGAAAAACAGUUGGAGGGUAAGAAAAGGAAACCAGUUUUGAUGAACUAGCCAAGUUGAUUAAAAUAAAGCAGAUACAAUUCCUACUGUUUUUCCAGAUAUCUUCCUGAUUUUUUUUCUUUUUUUUUUUUUUUGAGAUGGAGUUUCGCCCUUGUUGCCCAGGCUGAAGUGCAAUGGCAUGAUCACAGCUCACCGCAACUUCUGCCUCCCAGGUUCAAGCAAUUCUCUCAGGUUCAAGUGAUUCUCCUGCCUCAGCCUCGCAAGUAG
rnacentral:lncRNA from 1 species